rnacentral:rRNA from 1 species
CGGUGUUCAACUGGCGUGUCCGCGGGACGUCCUGCCGGUGAGCUCAGCCCGCGAGGGCGGCUCAACUUGAAAUCCCAUCGCGGUGCUCUUCAUUGAGUGUCGAGGUGGGCCGGCACGAUCACUUUUGAACAAAUUAGAGUGCUUAAAGCAGGCUAAAAUUUUGCCUGAAUACUGUGUAUAUGGAAUAAUGGAAUAGGACCUCGGUUCUAUUUUGUUGGUUUUCGGAACCCCGAGGUAAUGAUUAAUAGGAACGGAUGGGGGCAUUCGUAUUGCGACGUUAGAGGUGAAAUUCUUGGAUCGUCGCAAGACGGACUAAAGCGAAAGCAUUUGCCAAAAACGCUUUCAUUGAUCAAGAACGAAAGUUAGAGGUUCGAAGGCGAUCAGAUACCGCCCUAGUUCUAACCAUAAACUAUGCCAGCUAGCGAUCCGCCGACGUCCCUCUGAUGACUCGGCGGGCAGCUUCCGGGAAACCAAAGCUUUUGGGUUCCGGGGGAAGUAUGGUUGCAAAGCUGAAACUUAAAGGAAUUGACGGAAGGGCACCACCAGGAGUGGAGCCUGCGGCUUAAUUUGACUCAACACGGGAAACCUCACCAGGCCCAGACACUGGAAGGAUUGACAGAUUGAGAGCUCUUUCUUGAUUCAGUGGGUGGUGGUGCAUGGCCGUUCUUAGUCGGUGGAGCGAUUUGUCAGGUUAAUUCCGAUAACGGACGAGACUCUGACCUGAUAACUAGACGCACUUGCGGCAUCUCAAAGGUCCGCCGGCGGCUGGCUUUGCGCCCGUCGUCGCGCGCGAUUUUUACUGCCGGCGUACAAUAAAUUCUUCUUAGAGGGACAAGUGG